rnacentral:rRNA from 1 species
UUGUCUGCCCAGUGAAGUAUUUUAACGGCCGCAGUACCUUGACUGUGCAAAGGUAGCAUAAUCAUUUGACUUUUAAUUGGAGCCUAGAAUGAAAGAAAUAACGUAGACAAUUUGUCUUAUUCAUAUUAUCUUAAAUUUGCCGUAUGAGUGAAAAUGCUCAUGGUUUUAAAAAUAGACGAGAAGACCCUUAGAAUUUUAAAAACAUAUUAGUAUUACUCUAGUACGAUUUUUUGUUGGGGCAACAAUAUUUCACAUAAUAAAUAUAAUAUUUAAAGAAUACGUCGAUUUUAUAAUUAUAAUAAAAUUACCUAAGGGAUAACAGCAUAAUUUUAGUAGUAAGUUUGUGACCUCGAUGUUGGACUAGGUACUAUUAAGGCUAAUCGUUUUAA